rnacentral:other from 1 species
AUGUCCCUGCGAUGUGCGUGAGGAUAUUAAUAUUGAACCAACACACUUUAUCGGGGAGCCGGACUUCUAAACUCACAGCAGUAUUAGAGAGGUUCCCACCUGGAUAAUCAGGUUUCGAUAAUUUAUUCUCAAGCGGCAUUGUGGGGACUUU